UGGCUAAACCACCCCUGGAAGUGGGGAGCACAGUCAGUGACCGGGCUGGAGGGUUGAGCCAUGAAGGACACUAUGGUUCCUGAGGCUGCGGGAGGAGCUACAGGCAGAUGGAGUGACAGUGUGUGAACUGUUGGGGAGGGGUUGUCUUUGAGCUAAUCCCCAGAGUAUCAGGAGGAGGCACCAGUCCAGAGAUCUCAAAGAAAACUCAGCCUGCUCACUGCAGACCUCAACCUUCCCCAGCUCCUUUUCUCCUACUUUUUGCCAAAGAGCUGCUGACACCCUGCCAGAAGAAUAACCUAGCUGUUCUCCAUAGUGGGAUCUGGAAUAUACCAAAGUCUUAUGAAAAACCAUAAUGGAACCUAGCAACAGUUGUCCAGAAUGCUAAAGCCCGGGCCUGACUGAAGGACAACACGGAUACGCAGAUAGAAAAAACAGACUACAGCGGGAAAAAUAUCUGAUUCUUUUACAAAGAAGCCACUAAUCACCAAGAGAUGUGAAGCACUUUUUAAAGGAGAGAAGAAAUAAAUCUGAAAAUUACAUUAAGCAUGUGAUGUUUUACAAAACACUUAAAUCUAAUGAGAUGCAAUCAACUGAAAUGUCAAAAACAGAACUUCCCAGACUGUUCCUGCAGCUUUCUAAUGCCUUAGAUGUAAGGACAAACGAUCCAUUAGCUUAAAAAAAAAAGUCAGUCCUAUCAUGUCUACCUGUAUCGGGUGAUCACCACCACCGUGGCUGUACAGACUGGAAGUGGUGCAGUUCUUCUAUACCACGUAAUGUUUAAAUGUUAUAGGGCAGCCAAUCAGCAAAAAAUCAUAAAAUCCCAGAAAGGCUGAACGUAUAGAACCGUAGUUUAAUUUUGACCAAAAUGGGCAGAUAGUUUCUAAAUACAAUUAAAGGACUAUUUUGACUACAUAGUGCAUUGUUUUGGAAUGUCUGAGUUUUAUUUAGCCCCACGUGGUGUAUUUUAUGCAUUUUCCUGUACUACUUUGCCUUUUCUUAAAGCCAAAGUCUAUAUUCACAUGACAGUAUGAGCUUCUUUGUACCAUAUAUCAAAAUAUUUAUCGUUUGCAGAA